GGCAGACCUGCUCUAUGAUAGGAUUUAUUAAAUGGCCGCGAUAAUUUGAUCGUGCAAAGGUAGCAUAAUAAUUAGUUUCUUAAUUAGGAACUGGAAUGAAAGGUUGGACGAGAAAAAAACUGUCUCAAUUUAAUUUAAUUAGAAUUUUAUUUUUAAGUAAAAAAGCUUAAAUAAUUUUAAAAGACGAGAAGACCCUAUAGAGUUUUAUAUUUUUUUAUUUAUUUUUAAUUUUAAGAAUUUAAAUUAAAAGUUAGUAAGAAAAUAUUUGGUUGGGGUGAUCGAAAAAUUUAAUAAACUUUUUUUUAUUAUUAACCAUUAAUAAAUGAUUAAUUGAUCCAUAAUUUUAUGAUUAAAAGAUUAAAUUACCUUAGGGAUAACAGCGUAAUUUUUUUUGAGAGUUCAUAUCGAAAAAAAAGUUUGCGACCUCGAUGUUGGAUUAAAAUUAACUUUUGGUGUAGAAGCUAAAAAUGUUGG
rnacentral:rRNA from 1 species